UUAAAACACUCACCUUAUAGAAUUGUUGGAGGAGACUAUCUGAGCUUGUAUCCUGAAGAGUUUCUGACACAUCAUGACUCCUCUGUAUGUGAUAUUCCAGUGGAAUAGAACCUGUUUACACUUCUUACAAAAAGCAGCAGCAGUUUUGCUCUCUCUUUCCUCCCUUUAUCAGAUUUGAUCAUGGAAUUGUCAAAAGGAUCUGCUGCACCAGAAUUUCCAGUAUGAGGGAUCAGCCUUGGAAGACCUGAUGUCUGUAUUAACAAGCAUAGAAGGCAAGAACAAAGCUCAGAAAUAAUAACAAAUAUGUGGCAUUUAUUGAAUGCUUGGUAUAUGCUCUGAUUUUUGCUGAAGAGUUAAUGAUUAUUUCAUUUAAUCAUCAAGAAAAUUCUAACAAUAAACAGCUGUGCCUCUUCUCUUUGCCCAGCCUUAAUGAUGUACAGAAGCCUUGACAAGCUGUUUUCAUCUUUUAUGGACUAAAUUAUGUCCCCUGUCAAAGGACAUAUGUUUAAAUAUUAACUUCCAAUGUGCCCACAUUUAGAGACAGGGCCUUUAAAGAGGUGAUUAAGGUUAACUGAGGUCAUAUGAUAUGAUUGGACCCUCAUCCAACAUGACUGGUGUCUCUAUAAGAAGAAGAGACAUCAGGGAUAUGUGUGUACAGAGGAAAGGCCAUGUGGAGACACAGCAAGAAAGUGGCCAUCUGCAAGCCAAGGAGAGAGGACUCAGAAGAA